UACGUAGGGGGCUAGCGUUGUCCGGAAUCAUUGGGCGUAAAGGGCGCGUAGGCGGUCCGACAAGUCAGGGGUGAAAUCCUGCAGCUUAACUGCAGAAGUGCCUUUGAUACUGUCGGUCUUGAGGGAGAUAGGGGUGUGCGGAACUCACAGUGGAGCGGUGAAAUGCGUUGAUAUUGUGAGGAACGCCGGAGGCGAAAGCGGCGCACUGGAUCUCUUCUGACGCUGAGGCGCGAAAGCUAGGGGAGCAAACGGGG
rnacentral:rRNA from 1 species